rnacentral:SRP_RNA from 1 species
GCCAGGCGCGGUGGCUCACGCCUGUAAUCCCAGCACUUUGGGAGGCAGAGGCAGGUGGAUCACCUGAGGUCAGGAGUUCAAGACCAGCCUGGCCAACAUGGUGAAACCCUGUCUCUA